rnacentral:sRNA from 1 species
GUGCAUUCUAUCGUAGUUAUUAAGUUAACUUGACGAUUAUUGUUUACAAAUCCCCUGAAGAUGCAAUUUAUACAAUUGCGAAAUAUCGGAGAUCAAAAAUGAAAUAAAAUAAAA